rnacentral:lncRNA from 12 species
AAAUGUCUGCAGACUGGUGUGUGCACUGAGGAUGGAGAAGUCCACUGCAGCAUCCGGAAAUGGUCCAGAGACACGGAUGAGACGCUCCAUCACUCCAGCUCUUACUGUCUCAUCUGGACCAGAUGCUGCUGUGGUCUCUUCAUCAUCAGUGACCCCAGAGCAGCGAGAGCAUCUAGAGAAACACCAAAAGACACUGAGGAUUUGAUUUUGGUAGUGGUGCUCAUGGAGAGCAGCACACGAUUGUUUGGAGCAGACACAGCAGCAGUCAGAUUGUCCUGCAUGUGUUCUUCUGCUCUCGCUUCAAGGUUGUGUGGUUCAGAGAGCCGUCAUCAAGGUCUUCCUCAUCCUGUUGCUCAACGACAUCCCCGUUGAGAAGAGUGAGAUUGUGAAGCACAGCGCAGCAGCAGAACUGUCUCAGCUGUGUUGAGAUGAUAGUAAGAUGUGGGGUUCACCGUCUGUAAAUACAUGAUUGUUAGAACAGUUAGUUUGAAAGAAGCUUUGUUUCAUGUGUUGUUGACUUGUACAUGUCUGUAUUUAUUGUGAUGCUAACAUUUAUACAUUCUUUUAAUCAUUUAGACAUGUUUCUUGUUGUCAGUAAAUAAAAUAUAAAUAUUUGAUCUAUUCAUGUAUUAAUUGCUUGACUGAAAACUGAUGUAUUCACAUCAACUGCAUUAGUGUAUAUUCAUGUAUAGCUAUGUCACGACAGAAAAUACAUUUUGCUUCUUUUACUAAAAUGUAAUUUUAAGGAAAAAAAUGUAUAUAAUUAUUGGUUGGCAUUUAUCAUUAUUAUUGCAUGUAAGUGUUGGGGUGAGCAAAAGAUGCAAUUCAUUAUGGGGUAAUGUUAAUUUUUGAGUAGUGAUACUUACAUUUUUAGAGUAUAAAAUCAACAAUCUUCUCCAAAGGUGAGAUCUUCGAGCAGCUGUUCGACGUUUCGUUUGUGCAGAUAUUGCAGAGUCGCUGAGAGAAACUGUACUGGACUGUUGAGUUAGUGAUGCUGUGAGGUGGUAGUGCACCUGUACCUCUUUUUUAUUAUUAUUGCCAAACUUAUUACAUAAAAGAUCAUGGUAAGACGGUUGUAUCUAACAAUAACAAUCAUAACGCCAUAAAACAGUAAAUAAAAAAAUAACGUGUUCAUCAUAGUAUAAGAUACUAUACAAGAAAACAAAUUCACAUAAAAUAAUUGAAAAAAUAUUCUAGAGAUAACGAUUUUGGGUUUUCUAAUUCUAUAAAAAAAUCACAUUAGUGGAGUUAAAAAUAUAAAAACUUAAAUUAACAGUAUUGGCUAUACUACAAUCUUCAUUAUCAAGAUACAAAUACAUUCAUUAAACCUUUCACUCAUAUGUUUUAAGUUUUUACGCUCGUUUUAACUUUGUAGGUCACAUGAUCAACAUAGCGGAUGAUGAUAUCCAAAUCGCAUUAAUGCUUCAUACACAAAUACGCAUUCAGGCUGUAGAGUAUGUACUCUUUUAUCGCUCGUUAAAUUAGUUCUUAUUGAAAUUAAGUGCCUAAUUAAAGGGUAUGCGGUUUCGAACGCAGCCCGACAAAAUCUCGUUUUGACAUCUCGCGUGGUUCUGUGUGAUUUGGACAACUUCAAGUUACGCCUCUUUCGUCAAGUUACGCCCACUUCAAGUUACGCCCCUGUCUUGCAGUCUGCAGACAGACCCUUCUCCAAGAGGAUCUGCUGUGCCUGAGGAGGGAGCUCUGCUCAACUUGUGAUUUCCUGUUGUUCCAUUGUACAUGUGCUGUUGUGUGUUUGCUACAGGGUGUUGAUGCUCUUAGCUGGCCUGUUGAUCUGCCUAUUGUGUGCAGUGUGGAUUUUGAGUUGAUAAGGUGUUGUCAAUCUCAUUUUCCAUUUUGUAUAUUUUGUAAAGUAUUGUAAAUACUCUCUUUUCACACUUGGGAGCUGUAGGGGGUGAGUGCCAUUUUCUUUUGCAAAUAUUGUUUUCUCCUGUUUUUUAUUAGAUAGGGAGUUAGGGUAGCAUAUUGUAUUUUUAUUUAGUUUUUCUUUUGUUAGGGAAUUUAGUAUUCUCUGUUAGGAGCUGACUUGGUGUUUGUUUGUUGUUUUGGCCUUUGCUCACCCCUGAAGUUGUGCUUUUACUCUGUGGUUCUGUAAAUAAAUGUACAAAGGAUCGUAGAUGGUUAAUCUCAGUUUAUGUUGCGGCCUUACCCUAGACAGGGUCGUAACAAGUCACAAAAACUUUGAGCUAAAGACAAUCAAACAGUGAAUAUGACAAGAGGACACACCAGGAAGUGUUCUGUCAUGAUCUGAAUUUGGAAAUGAACAACUAUGCCCCUUGCUCUUAUGUCCUCCUACAGGAUUACAUUUUGGGGACAUACAACUCUGAUCUGUAAAUAUGAAUGUUGUUCCAGAUAUUUGCUAUGUACAUCUCAUUCUGAACUGAAAAUGGUCGGUGGAAACCAAUUUCUAUUUGAAAUGAUAGAAAACAGUGUGUAAAUGACAUUUAAUGGGUCUUUUAUUUUUUCAGGUGAACAUUAUAUUAAUAACUUACAUAAUGCCUAUGGAGGAAUUUUUUGGUCAGAUUAUAAACUAAAAGUCUAAAACUAAAAGACUUAAACCAAAACUAAAAAUCUAAAUUUGAAACUUAAAGUCCAAGUCGAAAAUUAAUUUGGUAUUUAGGAUUGGGCAUUUGGUAUUUAGGAUAGGGCAUUUUGCAUUUAGGAUUGGGCAUUUUCUAUUUAGGGUUGGGCAUUUGGUCAUUUAGCCAUUUAGGAUUUAGGAUUGGGCAUUUGGGGAUUUAGGAUUGUGAAUUUGGUAUUUAGGAUUGGGCAUUUAAUCAUUUAGCCAUUUAGGAUUGAGGAUUGGGCAUUUGAAGAUUGAGGAUUGGGCAUUUGAGGAUUGAGGAUUGAGGAGUGUAUGCAAAUUAGGAGGCGUGGCCCAAAUACUGGAGGCUGGGUUUGAAAUGGCUGGUGCGCAGAGGCACCUUAUGGACAGCAGAGGGAGCUCCCAGUGCUAAGGAGCACACUGUAAUGAAGCCAAACGGAGCGAGUGAGCGGCUUGAGCGAGGACUGUGUGAUAACUUCAACUUAAUGACAGCUUUGUAACAUUUGUGGCC